GCGAGUUAUAAUUAUAGUUAUAAUCCUGUGGCUGAGUACUUGCAGUUCAUCGAUAAUUCCCAAUUCGCUGUUGAUGGUUUGGUUACGGACUUCCCUCCUACAGCAUCAGAAGCUGUUGGUAAGGCCAUUAAUUCUCAUGUCAUCCCCCUGAGUUCACUAAAUGGCACUGAGCUAGAGCAUAUAAAACAUGUGUGUAUAUAUAUAUAUAUGCCUUUGAUUCUGAUAUGACCUCCAAAUGCUCUUUGAUUGUGCAGCAUGUUUUGCUCAACAGAACCCGAAGAAUCGCAAACAAGGUAAGCAUUUCCUGUUGAGGAGUAAAAAUUUUAAGCAGGACAAAUAGAAAGACAUAACCCUCAUGUUUUAUUCUCCAGGACAAGCUUUGAUCAUAACCCAUAAUGGAGCUAGUGGAGUUUACCCUGGCAGCACUGAUCUUGCAUAUCAACAAGCAGUGAACGAUGGAGCUGACAUAAUAGAUUGCUCAGUCCAGAUGUCAAAAG
rnacentral:lncRNA from 1 species